rnacentral:rRNA from 1 species
GGGUUGUGAGGUUAAGCGACUAAGCGUACACGGUGGAUGCCCUGGCAGUCAGAGGCGAUGAAGGACGUGCUAAUCUGCGAUAAGCGUCGGUAAGGUGAUAUGAACCGUUAUAACCGGCGAUUUCCGAAUGGGGAAACCCAGUGUGAUUCGUCACACUAUCAUUAACUGAAUCCAUAGGUUAAUGAGGCGAACCGGGGGAACUGAAACAUCUAAGUACCCCGAGGAAAAGAAAUCAACCGAGAUUCCCCCAGUAGCGGCGAGCGAACGGGGAGCAGCCCAGAGCCUGAAUCAGUGUGUGUGUUAGUGGAAGCGUCUGGAAAGGCGCGCGAUACAGGGUGACAGCCCCGUACACAAAAAUGCACAUAUUGUGAGCUCGAUGAGUAGGGCGGGACACGUGGUAUCCUGUCUGAAUAUGGGGGGCCCAUCCUCCAAGGCUAAAUACUCCUGACUGACCGAUAGUGAACCAGUACCGUGAGGGAAAGGCGAAAAGAACCCCGGCGAGGGGAGUGAAAAAGAACCUGAAACCGUGUACGUACAAGCAGUGGGAGCACGCUUAGGCGUGUGACUGCGUACCUUUUGUAUAAUGGGUCAGCGACUUAUAUUCUGUAGCAAGGUUAACCGAAUAGGGGAGCCGAAGGGAAACCGAGUCUUAACUGGGCGUUAAGUUGCAGGGUAUAGACCCGAAACCCGGUGAUCUAGCCAUGGGCAGGUUGAAGGUUGGGUAACACUAACUGGAGGACCGAACCGACUAAUGUUGAAAAAUUAGCGGAUGACUUGUGGCUGGGGGUGAAAGGCCAAUCAAACCGGGAGAUAGCUGGUUCUCCCCGAAAGCUAUUUAGGUAGCGCCUCGUGAAUUCAUCUCCGGGGUAGAGCACUGUUUCGGCAAGGGGGUCAUCCCGACUUACCAACCCGAUGCAAACUGCGAAUACCGGAGAAUGUUAUCACGGGAGACACACGGCGGGUGCUAACGUCCGUCGUGAAGAGGGAAACAACCCAGACCGCCAGCUAAGGUCCCAAAGUCAUGGUUAAGUGGGAAACGAUGUGGGAAGGCCCAGACAGCCAGGAUGUUGGCUUAGAAGCAGCCAUCAUUUAAAGAAAGCGUAAUAGCUCACUGGUCGAGUCGGCCUGCGCGGAAGAUGUAACGGGGCUAAACCAUGCACCGAAGCUGCGGCAGCGACGCUUAUGCGUUGUUGGGUAGGGGAGCGUUCUGUAAGCCUGCGAAGGUGUGCUGUGAGGCAUGCUGGAGGUAUCAGAAGUGCGAAUGCUGACAUAAGUAACGAUAAAGCGGGUGAAAAGCCCGCUCGCCGGAAGACCAAGGGUUCCUGUCCAACGUUAAUCGGGGCAGGGUGAGUCGACCCCUAAGGCGAGGCCGAAAGGCGUAGUCGAUGGGAAACAGGUUAAUAUUCCUGUACUUGGUGUUACUGCGAAGGGGGGACGGAGAAGGCUAUGUUGGCCGGGCGACGGUUGUCCCGGUUUAAGCGUGUAGGCUGGUUUUCCAGGCAAAUCCGGAAAAUCAAGGCUGAGGCGUGAUGACGAGGCACUACGGUGCUGAAGCAACAAAUGCCCUGCUUCCAGGAAAAGCCUCUAAGCAUCAGGUAACAUCAAAUCGUACCCCAAACCGACACAGGUGGUCAGGUAGAGAAUACCAAGGCGCUUGAGAGAACUCGGGUGAAGGAACUAGGCAAAAUGGUGCCGUAACUUCGGGAGAAGGCACGCUGAUAUGUAGGUGAAGUCCCUUGCGGAUGGAGCUGAAAUCAGUCGAAGAUACCAGCUGGCUGCAACUGUUUAUUAAAAACACAGCACUGUGCAAACACGAAAGUGGACGUAUACGGUGUGACGCCUGCCCGGUGCCGGAAGGUUAAUUGAUGGGGUCAGCGCAAGCGAAGCUCUUGAUCGAAGCCCCGGUAAACGGCGGCCGUAACUAUAACGGUCCUAAGGUAGCGAAAUUCCUUGUCGGGUAAGUUCCGACCUGCACGAAUGGCGUAAUGAUGGCCAGGCUGUCUCCACCCGAGACUCAGUGAAAUUGAACUCGCUGUGAAGAUGCAGUGUACCCGCGGCAAGACGGAAAGACCCCGUGAACCUUUACUAUAGCUUGACACUGAACAUUGAGCCUUGAUGUGUAGGAUAGGUGGGAGGCUUUGAAGUGUGGACGCCAGUCUGCAUGGAGCCGGCCUUGAAAUACCACCCUUUAAUGUUUGAUGUUCUAACGUGGACCCGUGAUCCGGGUUGCGGACAGUGUCUGGUGGGUAGUUUGACUGGGGCGGUCUCCUCCUAAAGAGUAACGGAGGAGCACGAAGGUUGGCUAAUCCUGGUCGGACAUCAGGAGGUUAGUGCAAUGGCAUAAGCCAGCUUGACUGCGAGCGUGACGGCGCGAGCAGGUGCGAAAGCAGGUCAUAGUGAUCCGGUGGUUCUGAAUGGAAGGGCCAUCGCUCAACGGAUAAAAGGUACUCCGGGGAUAACAGGCUGAUACCGCCCAAGAGUUCAUAUCGACGGCGGUGUUUGGCACCUCGAUGUCGGCUCAUCACAUCCUGGGGCUGAAGUAGGUCCCAAGGGUAUGGCUGUUCGCCAUUUAAAGUGGUACGCGAGCUGGGUUUAGAACGUCGUGAGACAGUUCGGUCCCUAUCUGCCGUGGGCGCUGGAGAACUGAGGGGGGCUGCUCCUAGUACGAGAGGACCGGAGUGGACGCAUCACUGGUGUUCGGGUUGUCAUGCCAAUGGCACUGCCCGGUAGCUAAAUGCGGAAGAGAUAAGUGCUGAAAGCAUCUAAGCACGAAACUUGCCCCGAGAUGAGUUCUCCCUGACCCUUUAAGGGUCCUGAAGGAACGUUGAAGACGACGACGUUGAUAGGCCGGGUGUGUAAGCGCAGCGAUGCGUUGAGCUAACCGGUACUAAUGAACCGUGAGGCUUAACCUUACAACGCCGAAG